rfam:Pan troglodytes isolate Yerkes chimp pedigree #C0471 (Clint) chromosome 10, whole genome shotgun sequence.
ACAGGCACAGCCGGUUUGAGCAUUUUUACUGAAUUGCCAAACCAGUCGUGCCUGUGG